GAAGGUAAACACAUUCUAAACAAAUAAAUCCCUGCAGCAAUAAGAAUGUAGAUGCAGAAAAACAGAGUAAAUCAAUCAAGCAAUCACUACAGCACUAAGUAGGUAGGUGUAGAAAAUACAGUAUAGCUAAAUAAAUAAAUCACUACAGCACUAAGCAGGUAGGUGUAGAAAAUACAGUAUAGCUAAAUCAAUCAAUCACUACAGCACUAAGCAGG